GUUUCCUCCAAAUUAAUGUAUCUUCAUUCCAUUCUUCUUUCCCUUCAUUUGCAAUCACUUCUGUAACCACUAUUAUUUAUUAUUCCAUCAUCUAUUUUUGAUUUUUGUUCUUCCAACUCCUUUCACUAUUCAUUUAACUAUUUGUAUUCCAAAUUAAUGAAAGGUUUUGCCAUCAUUUCCAUGAAAUUGGUUCAUCAUCCAUCAUUGGGUUUGAAGCUCCGUGAAACCAUCAUCGUUCUUCAAGGUUGAUAUGUGGUUUGAUAUGAGUAUGUCAUAUUUUGGGUUUUACGGUAUUAAAUAAAUUUUCAGGUAUUACGAUAGUUUCUCAAUUCCAGAAUAGUUCUAACGUUUGAUUUAAUUCAACUCUUCUCAAUUCCAUAACAGCUCUAAUGUUUGCUAAAAGAAGAUCCGAAGAUCUGAGAAGAAAAGUAGUGGAAAGAGAAGGUGACGCUAAGGAGAUUUCACCUAUAUCAUAUUGGAAUAUCAUAAUUCCAUACUAUUACCCAUACCAACUUAAUGAAUGUAUUUUUGUUAUUAAGAAUUAUGAUUUUUUUUAAAUAAAUAAUUAUAAUCAUUUUUUUAUAAAUCAAUACAAGGAAUUAUGUGAGUUUUA